rnacentral:lncRNA from 1 species
GGGCCCGUCUGCGGCCCGCCCUCUCCCCCCAGAACCUUCCGCGCAGGAAAAGCCAUUUCCAACCCGAGUUUGGAAGGAGGACGCAUGGCUGCUGCCCAGCCACGGGCCUCUGGGGCCCCAAGAACUGACGUGGGCUCUUCAACCCUGGAGGCAUUUCAUAAACUUCUUACAACCAGAAAAUCAUAAUUACCAUCUCUGCAAUCAUUUCCCAUUUCUUUCCAACUGCCGUCUGUCAAGAGGUGCCGGCCGCGGAAACCCCGUGUACCUUGCGCAGUCACUAAUUAAUCCCAGAAGACGGCACCAGCUAAGUGGAAAUGCGUUAUUUGAAAAAGAUGGAAGGAAACCAGCCGCCAUAAGAAACCAGAGAGGGAGGGCAACUCUUUGCGUCACUGUGGAAAACCAAAACGAUGGAGGAG